UACGUAGGGGGCAAGCGUUGUCCGGAAUCAUUGGGCGUAAAGGGCGCGUAGGCGGUACUUCAAGUCAGGCGUGAAAGCCCCGGGCUCAACCUGGGAACCGCGCUUGAGACUGGAGAACUAGAGUUCGGGAGAGGAUGGUGGAAUUCCCAGUGUAGAGGUGAAAUUCGUAGAUAUUGGGAAGAACACCGAUGGCGAAGGCAGCCAUCUGGACCGACACUGACGCUGAGGCGCGAAAGCGUGGGGAGCAAACAGG
rnacentral:rRNA from 1 species